UAAGUUUUGGAUUUAUGGGGCUUGAUUCAUAAAAAAAGGGGGAUUUUCAACACUUCGGACAAUAACUCAAAAAGGCUUUCACCAAUGUCCAUGAAACUUUGGUGAAUUGUUUAUAUCUAUUGAUGUAAGCUCCCUUUCAAUUUUUAUUAAUUUCAGAUUUUAAGUUUUGGAUUUAUGGGGCUUUAUUCAUAAAAAAAGGGGGAUUUUUAAACACUUCGGACAAUAACUCAAAAAGGCUUUCACCAAUGUCCAUGAAACUUUGGUGAAUUGUUUAUAUCUAUUGAUAUAAGCUCCCUUUCAAUUUUUAUUAAUUUCAGAUUUUAAGUUUUGGAUUUAUGGGGCUUUAUUCAUAAAAAAAGGGGGAUUUUUAACACUUCGGACAAUAACUCAAAAAGGCUUUCACCAAUGUCCAUGAAACUUUGGUGAAUUGUU
rnacentral:lncRNA from 1 species